rnacentral:rRNA from 1 species
UUGGGAAUAUUGGACAAUGGAGGAAACUCUGAUCCAGUGACGCCGCGUGAAGGAAGAAGGUCUUCGGAUUGUAAACUUAUUUUGUCAGGGAAGAAACAAAUGACUGUACCUGAAGAAAAAGCACCGGCUAACUACGUGCC